UAAGGAAUAUUGGACAAUGGAGGCAACUCUGAUCCAGCCAUGCCGCGUGAAGGAAUAAGGCCCUAUGGGUUGUAAACUUCUUUUAGACGGGACAAAACCCCUUUACGUGUAAAGGGUUGAUGGUACUGUCAGAAUAAGCAUCGGCUAACUUCGUGCCAGCAGCCGCGGUAAUACGAAGGAUGCAAGCGUUAUCCGGAAUUAUUGGGUUUAAAGGGUGCGUAGGCGGACUAAUAAGUCAGUGGUGAAAGCCUGCAGCUUAACUGCAGAAUUGCCAUGGAUACUGUUAGUCUUGAGUACAGUUGAGGUAGGCGGAAUGUGUCAUGUAGCGGUGAAAUGCUUAGAUAUGACACAGAACACCGAUUGCGAGGGCAGCUUGCUAAGCUGUAACUGACGCUGAGGCACGAAAGCGUGGGGAGCAAACA
rnacentral:rRNA from 1 species